GACGAACGCUGGCGGCGUGCCUAAUACAUGCAAGUUGAGCGCUGAAGGUUGGUACUUGUACCGACUGGAUGAGCAGCGAACGGGUGAGUAACGCGUGGGGAAUCUGCCUUUGAGCGGGGGACAACAUUUGGAAACGAAUGCUAAUACCGCAUAAAAACUUUAAACACAAGUUUUAAGUUUGAAAGAUGCAAUUGCAUCACUCAAAGAUGAUCCCGCGUUGUAUUAGCUAGUUGGUGAGGUAAAGGCUCACCAAGGCGAUGAUACAUAGCCGACCUGAGAGGGUGAUCGGCCACAUUGGGACUGAGACACGGCCCAAACUCCUACGGGAGGCAGCAGUAGGGAAUCUUCGGCAAUGGACGAAAGUCUGACCGAGCAACGCCGUGUGAGUGAAGAAGGGUUUCGGAUCGUAAAACUCUGUUGGUAGAGAAGAACGUUGGUGAGAGUGGAAAGCUCAUCAAGUGACGGUAACUACCCAGAAAGGGACGGCUAACUACGUG
rnacentral:rRNA from 1 species